GCGCUUUCGGCGCCAUUUUCGAGUGAUGCCUGAUCUCAUCAAUCUAGCGGGAGAGACAGGAUAACCUGUCCGAGAGUAUAGCGCCACUAUGACUCCGCCGGAAAAAUUACUUUAAAAAUCGCCAAAAAUUACUUGGAGCAAAGGGCAGUCGGCGGAGCUUCGCCAAGGCUGGCGCAGUCGGUUUUGACCUGUAGCAGAGAACCAAUUCUGGAGAACAGCCUCACUUCUUUGAUUGAAUACUUACAUAAUGCAUUGGAACAUGACAUGAGAUUAAGGUUUAAUAAUGAUAGAAUGAAGACCACAAUAAAAGAGACCUCUACUUAGCUCAGCAAUUCUUACCUUUCUUACCUAUUUGAUGAAGAUGUCUUUUGAAAGGUGUACUGCAAGGAACAAAAUGUUUGUAAAUUCUCCUUUUACCAAGGUGGAUAAUUACUGUACCUUCCUCAUGGAAAAAGUUUUAUUUAAAGUGUUAUUUCUCAUUGAAUACUAUCAAAAAGGAAAAAAAAAUGACCUAAACUUUUGAGAUAGAUUUGGCUCUAGUAAGUAUUUAGUUAUAUCACUUGCAUAUCUGGGAGAAGAAAUAAGAGACUAUCAUCAGUACAUUCCCAUCUACUAAAAAAAUUUAUUUUACACAUGUCAAGGGAUUACUUAUAACUUCCAUUUUAUUACUAAUAGCUUGAACCCUUUUAAUGAAGACCUAACUCCUCCACCAGAAAUUUAAGUUUAUGUUCUUACUUUGUUUACUUAUAAAAUACAUCUCAGGUAUUUCGGAUGUCUUUUUUUUUUCUAAGCCUAUAUGAAAUGAAAAAUAUAUUGGCAAAAUAAAUGUUUAAACCUUUUACGUUAAAAUUACUUUGAAAGAUGAAAAGUUAGUGCUGUUUUUGUCUACGUUAUACUGAAAUUAAAUGUUUAUAAUUUAUAUUUUGGGUUUAUGUAUAAAUCAUGGAAUUUAUGCAAAAAUAUGAGUAGUACAGAUUCUCCUCUAAUUCUGUAGGACUUUGAAUAAUGUGAUAUUUUUCUUAUAAUUGGACCCUUGUGUUUUGAAGAAAUGCCAACUGCUUGAAGAAUCUCCUUGUUAUUUGUAUUAUUUGCUAUAGGGUUAGAUGUUGAGAAAUUCUGCUGACAAAAAAUUUUAAGCCAGUUUUACACUAAAUGUUCCUCAGUCUGAUUAAUUUGUUAUUGGAUGUAUUCUGUAUCUUUCUUUUGUAAUUUGUAACUUUUAUCCACUUAGCACGAAUGAUUCUAUUAAAGAAAAUCAUUAGGAAGUGGUAGAAACUUUAAAUCGCCCCAGAGUUUGCCUGUUUCCAUAUUUUAUUAUCUUAUAAUCUUCGGGAGUGCUUACACUUAUGGAGCUAACAUUUUCAGAGAUACAGCUUCUUAUAGUAACACUAAAACUUUCUUCCUCUUUGGACUGAAUACCUAUAAUUAUAACUAUAUGGUAGUUUAAGUUUCCUUGUGAUUAGUCAAAAAUACCAUUUUAGUAUGAAGCAAUGAAGUCUAUUAUUUGUUGUCCCAUAAUUGAGAAAGCUUAAAUACACCUUUUAUUAAGAGUUUGUAAAUUCUAGCUUAGUCUACACAGAUUUUUAUAUCAAUUUGUUUAUAUUUUUAUUAAUGUCAUUUCUGGAAGUGUGAAAAUGUUAAUGUUCAACAAGCAACAUUAAAAAUAGAUUUGAAACAUUUAUAUAUAGAGAGGUACACAUUUAUUUACUGUUUAGGUACUGAAGAUUAUCACUUAAUAAAAAAUAUAUAUCCCAGCCCCCUUGAAGCUUAUUAAUCUUGGGGGUAGAGGAGUGAGUGAUGGAAUGAAUGGACAAAAAAGCUGGUAGGUACUAUAUUUGGUAUGUCAGAGAGUGACAAGUUCUGUGGAGAAAAUAAAGCAGGGAAAGUGAGAAUGAUGUGAUAAAGGUGUUUGUAAGGCAGAAGAGAGAUAUUUUUAAAUAGUAUGGUCAGGAACUACCCUACAGAGAGGACAUUUGAACAAAGACCUAGAAACAAUAAGGGAGCAAACCAUGUAGGUACCUGGGAGAAGACCCUUCUGAGCAGAUGAAAUAGCAAAUACAAAGACCCUGAGGCUGAAGCAUUUUUUGUGUGUACAUGGAACAGCAAAGAGGCACAUGUAGCUGUGAUCAAAUAUAAACAGGAAGAAUAGUAGCUUAUAGGAUCAGAGAGUUGAUAGGGGCCAUAUCUUGUAGCUGUUUAAGCUACAAGAUAUCUGAGCUACAGAUUCAGUUUUUCAUACUUUGUUUUGAGUGAGUGUCGCUCUGUUGCCCGUGCUAGAGUGCAAUGGCAUGAUUCUCGGCUCACUGCAACCUCCGCCUCCUGGGUCCAAGCAAUUCUCCUGCUUCACCCUCCCGAGUAGCUGGGAUUGCAGGCACCCACCACCAUGUCCAGCUAAUUUUUUUGUAUUUUUAGUAGAGAUGGGGUUUCGCCAUAUUGGCCAGGCUGGUCUCUAGAACUCCUGACCUCGUGAUUCGCCCACCUCGGCCUCCCAAAGUGCUGGAAUUACAUGUGUGAGCCACCAAGCCCG
rnacentral:lncRNA from 1 species